AUAAGUUACAAAGUGAACUUAAAUGUAUGCAUAAAUAAAAUGAAAGAAAGUAAGUCAUGACAACUACUAGUACAAUUAUGUUAAAAUUAAGUAAAUCUAGCAUAAAAUUUUAAGUAUUUGACUGUGAGCCAUGUGAUGUGCUGUUUCCUGCAAAGGAGCCAUUUUGUGAAGCACAUGUGAAGACGGUGAGAAGGGGGGGUGAAGAAACGCAUUUCUGAAACGCAACGUGAUGUAGAUGCUGAAAAGAGACCAGCCCUGUGGAACAACGUAGAGAAGUUGUAAUUCUAUGCUUAAUUGUCUGCCUCUCUGAAAAUCCUGAGAAUCUGAUCAAGCACCAUCAGGAUACUCAUGGGAAUAAGGAGGAACUGGAACUGCUCACACUUAAAAUCAUCAAGAAAGGUGGCUCAACAGAUGAUCCAUUACAGACUGGGAUAGUGCUGGAAGGCAUAGAGGUGAUGACGAGAUUGGCAGGUGUUGCGAAGGCUUGUGUUUUUCUGCUUGGCCUAAUUUAAGCAAUUAAUCUGAGUUACCCCAAAGAGCUCAAUGAACAAUGUUUGUCUGCAACUGUUUGAUUACAUUCUUGUUUUAUUCUUAGGAUGUUUUUGGGUGUUCCAAAAGUAAAUGUUAGAAAAAUUGUUGCAAAGGGUGAAAAAAAAAGUGACCUAUUGUAGACCUAUUGUGUCUUACAAACAAAAAAAAAAAAGAUAAAGAAAAUGCUUUUUUUUUCUAGUUUUAUUAGGAAUUCUGUACAAAAUUAAAUGCUGGAAUAAUGUAAAUCCUUUAUGAAGUGUUGCAAAGGGUUAAAAAUCAAGGAAUUAACUUGUUAGAAGUGAACUUCCAUUUGUAUAUUUGUCACAUUGUGUUGUACAUUCAUGAUGUGUUGUUUUAGGCUUCACCGUUGCUUUGCAGCCUGUCAAAAAAAAUAAAUAAACUGAAAUGCUUUAUUUUGUGUAAUUUGCUUGUUUAAUUUAUUUAAGAUAUUAAAUGUACUGUAAGCAGACCAAUAGCUGAAGAUCUAAAAUCAGUUAAAAUGUUAAGUUGGUUCAACUGAAUUUUUAAAUAUAAAUGAGCUUAAAUGUUAAGUUAACACAACUUGAAAUUACUUGGUAGAUUAUAUAAUGUUGAAUAUUUUAAGUAAAGAAUGUUGAGUGAACUCAAAUAUUUAAGUUCAUAUAACAAAGAUUAUCUUGUUUAUUUUAAGUAAAAUUGUUCCAAGUUGGGUUUACUUAAAAAGUGUGUUGCAAAAAUGGUGCAUAUAUAUUUUAAGUAAAUCCAACACAUCAUUUUUACC